ACGGGAGGCAGCAGUGGGGAAUAUUGGACAAUGGGGGCAACCCUGAUCCAGCGACGCCGCGUGAGUGAAGAAGUAUUUCGGUAUGUAAAGCUCUAUCAGUAGGGAAGAAAAAUGACAGUACCUAACUAAGAAGCCCCGGCUAACUACGUGCCAGCAGCCGCGGUGAUACGUAGGGAGCGAGCGUUGUCCGGAUUUACUGGGUGUAAAGGGUGCGUAGGCGGGCUUGCAAGUCAGGCGUGAAAUACCGGGGCUUAACUCCGGGGCUGCGCUUGAAACUGUAAGUCUUGAGUGAAGUAGAGGCAGGCGGAAUUCCCAGUGUAGCGGUGAAAUGCGUAGAUAUUGGGAGGAACACCAGUGGCGAAGGCGGCCUGCUGGGCUUUAACUGACGCUGAGGCACGAAAGUAUGGGGAGCAAACAGGAUUAGAUACCCUGGUA
rnacentral:rRNA from 1 species